rnacentral:rRNA from 1 species
GAGUUUGAUCUUGGCUCAGGAUGAACGCUAGCGGCAGGCCUAAUACAUGCAAGUCGAGGGGCAGCGCGGGUAGCAAUACCUGGCGGCGACCGGCGCACGGGUGCGUAACACGUAUACAAUCUGCCUUUAACAGGGGGGAUAGCCCGGAGAAAUCCGGAUUAAUACCCCAUAAUAUAUUGAGUGGCAUCACUUGAUAUUGAAAGCUCCGGCGGUUAGAGAUGAGUAUGCGCCUGAUUAGUUAGUUGGUGAGGUAACGGCUCACCAAGACUUCGAUCAGUAGGGGAUCUGAGAGGACUACCCCCACACGGAUACUGAGACACGGAUCCGACUCCUACGGGAGGCAGCAGUAAGGAAUAUUGGACAAUGCCGCAAGGGUGAUCCAGCCAUGCCGCGUGCAGGAAGACGGCCCUAUGGGUUGUAAACUGCUUUUACACCGGAGAAAACCCUUCUCGUGAGGAGGGCUGAUAGUAUGGUGAGAAU